rnacentral:rRNA from 1 species
GAGUUUGAACCUGGCUCAGGACGAACGCUGGCGGCGCGCCUAACACAUGCAAGUCGAACGGGGUUAUAGGAACAGCUUGCUGGGAAUAUAACUUAGUGGCGGACGGGUGAGUAACACGUGAGCAACCUGCCUUUCAGAGGGGAAUAACGUUUGGAAACGAACGCUAAUACCGCAUAACAUUGGGAUAUGGCAUCAUGACCCAAUCAAAGAUUUAUCGCUGAAAGAUGGGCUCGCGCCCGAUUAGGUAGUUGGUGAGAUAAUAGCCCACCAAGCCGACGAUCGGUAGCCGGACUGAGAGGUUGAACGGCCACAUUGGGACUGAGACACGGCCCAGACUCCUACGGGAGGCAGCAGUGGGGGAUAUUGCACAAUGGGGGGAACCCUGAUGCAGCGACGCCGCGUGAGGGAAGACGGUUUUCGGAUUGUAAACCUCUGUCUUUAGGGACGAAACAAAUGACGGUACCUAAAGAGGAAGCCACGGCUAACUACGUGCCAGCAGCCGCGGUAAUACGUAGGUGGCAAGCGUUGUCCGGAAUUACUGGGUGUAAAGGGAGCGUAGGCGGGAAUGCAAGUUGAAUGUUUAAACUAUGGGCUCAACCCAUAGUCGCGUUCAAAACUGCAUUUCUUGAGUGGAGUAGAGGCAGGCGGAAUUCCUAGUGUAGCGGUGAAAUGCGUAGAUAUUAGGAGGAACACCAGUGGCGAAGGCGGCCUGCUGGGCUCUAACUGACGCUGAGGCU